GGGUAGUACUCGGUUAAAGCAAUAGACAGGACAAGCAUGUAGGACCGAGAGCGUAGGGCUUGCGGACGCGGGUUCGACUCCCGCCACCUCCACCA
rnacentral:tmRNA from 1 species